GGUGCUGGCUUUCGUGGUCCCCGGGUCCCCUGGCUACCACCUGCUGCUGCUGUCGCUGGGCAACGGCAGAGUGGCAGGGGCGUGGCCCACUGUGUCCCUACCCUGGAGGCCUCUUUCUUCCUCUGCCGCUUCCCCAACCACCUGGACACUCUCAUGGAGUGCUGGUGACGUCUGACCUGGUGCUCUGGGAUAGCAUCUGUCUACGCCAUCCAUACCCCCCGUCUUCCCUGUCACCACACGCCAACGGCUGCCUGAACCCCGUGCCGUCCUGAGGCAGGAGGCUGAUGGGCCCUGGCAGAUGCCUUCAGGGAUCUGUGAGCAAGGCUGCGACCCUAGGGCCCGGGCCGGCUGGAACUGGGGGCCCUAAAGACCGCAGGCAGGUGGUGGGUGGAGAGCACUCUGCCAGGAGAGAGGUCCUUCUACCAUGGCCACCAACUUGGACAAAGGGACACCUGGGGGAAGGGUGCUGAACACCCUACCCUCCUUUUCUGGGCUCUGCCAGGGGCAGAACCCUGCACCCUAGGGAGAGCUGGCGUGGGCUGCGGCACCCUCUGGGAGUCUCUGAUCUCUUCUGGGUGUGGUGGAAUGUGGGGUCACAUGGGGGAGCUUAGGUCUUUGCUCACCCGGAGGUAUGGGUAGGACAAGGGGAAGGAGGAAGGUUGGAGAAUAACCUGUAUCAUCCACGACUGUCUGGACGCGUCCACCUCUGGUUCAGUUGCCCCGUUUCUGCCUUUUGUGAGCAUUCUCAGGAAAAUUCCCAAGGGUCCUAGACUAAGGGGUCAGAGGUCAACACACCAGCACCUGUUUCCCUCUGUCUGCCCUCCCCGACACCCCUAGCCUCACCCCAAAUAGGGUGUACCCUUGCUCUCUGGUGCCAGAGCCAACAGUGCCCUCCCCCUGGCCAUCUCCACCGUACAGCAUCCCAGUGGUGCCCAGAGAAACCUGGGGCCUGCAGACCUCAGCUGAGAAAGCGGAGUCCUCGGGCAGGGGGAUGCCCUGCGUGAGUCCUGCUGGUCUCUAGAAUCAGCCCAGGCCCGAGUGUAAACACCCUGAGUGUCCAUCCUUAAACCAGGAUUUGGAGGGAGAAGUGGGGAGAAGGCAAGGAUGUGGGUGGGGCAUAGGGAGGAGAGAGAGGGCGGAGGGAUUGGGAGAAGAGGGGGCUGCAGGUACGUCCAGAGAAGUGGGAACCAGAGUCGGAGGCUCGUGAGGGUGUCCCUCCCUCCUGUCCCAAGUGUGCAGCUCAGAGGAUCAAAGCACCCGGAAUCACAUCCUAGCUCUGACGCUAACCAGCGGAGGGACCUCGGUAAGUGACUUGUCUCUACUGGUUUUCUCAUCUGUAAAGUGGGGUGUUGAGGAUUCAACGGUACCUGAAGUCGUGUGUUGGCUAUUGUUCUUACGCUCCAUGUAAAAUGGAAUCAGAGAGAAGGAAGAGGAGGAAAAGAAGGAACAGGCGGCAGCAGGGAGACAGGGACCCACGGCCAGAGAUGGCUCGUUGGGGAUGUUUGCAUGCCCUGGAGUGAAAUGGAAGUUUUACAUGAAGAACUGAGAGAGCUGCCUGGCCGGCUCGGUUGGAAGAGCCCAGGACUCUUGAUCUCAGGGUCGUGAGUUCAAGCUCCGUGGUGAGUAUAGAGCAACAGAAAAAGAGAGAUCGGAAAAAAAAAAAGAACUGAGUGAAGGAUUGGCCCCUGGUUUCCAUAUCCAUGGAGACCCAGCAGUGAUACGGGAGAGCGCUCUGGUCUCCCAAGGACCCAGAGCGACAGCAGGACAUUAAGCCAUGUUAACGACAUUUAAUUAGCUGCUUGAUGUUUAGUUUCCUCCUUUUGAUGUUUAAACUGGUUCACGUCUGUCAGGAUAGGAAAUCCUGUUCCCAGUCAAUUCAGGAUGGAAAAUCCUCCCCUCUCGCCACCCCUGCAGCUCCUCUGAUGGCUUUGCUGGGAUAUUGGCUCCCAGGGGGCAUCUGUGCUAAUGGGGCCUGGAGAAACCUAUUUCUACUUGAAGAGGCUGAGAUCACACUCACUGGAGGAGACAGAGGCUCCUACAUUUGCUUCCUAGAGCUCUGCCACCCGCUCACCAUCAGAAGAGGCUGCAGGUGUGUCCCCUGUGCCCCUCCCAGGAGUCACCAUAGCCCUGGGAGGUUAACUAGGGGUCACCUCAAAUGUCCCCAGGACACACAGCCAAGGGCGGCACCCCACUUCCUUUCUGCGCCUCACCUCGCGGACUAUGGGGAGGGGACAGGCGGCUGCCCCCCUCCUCCUCGCUGCCCGUGUCGGGGUCACUGCUGUCCUGCAGCCGCUCCUCGGGGCUGCCCAGCUCCUGCCUCUCUCGGUCCUCAAAGGGUCGAUGGAUAGAGCGAAUGGUCACAGACAAAUCCAGGCGGUCGUGGCCUCGGCUGGGCUGUGACGGGCCGGCAGGAAAGGCAGCAGGCCGAGGAAUGAGCUCAGCCAGGGCAGCACCGCUGAGCGCCUUGUGCCCCUGACCGCCCGUCCCAGCCCCCCAGUUGCCCAGUUCUGUGCCCCACUGCCUAUCCCAGCCGCCCAGACCGCCCGUCCCGGCCCCCCAGCCGGCGCCCAGUGCUUCUGGCCGCGGCCGGUCGCCUUCGGGCUCGAGUCCCCGGUUGGCUCAGGGCCUCCUUACCUGCGGGGGCGUGAAACUCAGGUAGAGGGCGUCUCCGGCCGGGAGGCUGCGGCGCCGAGGGUCCAGGGGCCUGCGGGCCCAGGGGGCCUCGGCCGGAGGGGGCUCGCUAUGGCCCAAGGCGGCCAGCUGCCUGCGCGCCUCCUCGGCCUCGCGCUCCAGCAGGGCCCGGGCCUGCUCGCUCUCGCGGAGCCGGGCCUCCAGGCUGCCCGCCUCGGUGGCGCGCUCCUCGCCCAGCCGCCGGCAGCGCCGCAGCUCCUCCUGCAGCAGCGCGUGCUGACGCUGCAGCAGGGCCAGCUCGGUGGCCUGCUUGUCGGGGGCCGCGGGGGCCGGCCCGCUGCGGCCGAGCUCCCCGUCGCGGGAGUUGGCUCGGGUCAGCUUCUCCCGCCGCUCGGGGCCCUCGGGGAAGCGGGCUUCCAUCAGGGUGUCCUGCUGGGCCACAGCCGCCUGGGGGCGCGCGGGGACAGUCAGGUGUAGGGGAACCGGGUUGGGGGGGGGGAAGGGGAGCGUGCCUAGGCCAGGUUGACGGGCCCCCACCCCUGCCCCACCCCGCCUCUGGCUCCUCCCCGCCCCCACCGACCUGGAGACCGUGCAGAAGUCCAUAGAGAUUGACCAAUCGCUGUAACGCUUCCUGAGGACAGAGGAGAGGGUGGGGACAGGGCCCAAGCUUCAGGGUGGGAGAGCUGCCCAGAAGGCGACUAAAUGUGGGUUUGGGGACAGUCAACCUUUGGACACUUUCCGAUGUAGCGUCUCCCCGACACCACUCUGAGCUGGGCUCCAGUUUCUCAGACACGACACCCUCCCUCCAGUCCGCCAUACCUCCUCACAUCCCUCUCACCUCCUGGGGAGCCCUCAGCUGAUUUCCGUUCCGAUCCUGCAGAGACAGGCAAGGAUGGGCACUCAUAGGCACCAGGUCCCUGGAGCGUGUCCCUGACAGCUCUGUGUCAGGGGCCGACAGCCCGGCCGCCCCUUUCCCACCCUCUGCCAGUUCCGGCACCUCCUGCGGACCCACCUUCUGGCUGGAGUCGGAGUCAGCUCUGCAGAGCUCAAUCGAGCCAUUGAAGGUUCUGGCCUCACCAUCUGCAAAGACGGAAAAGGGCAGGCUGAGCUCCGACUUCAGGGCCCUGCAGUUUGGCCCCUCCUACCGCCACCCCCCCUCCCCCGCCCCACCGCGGCCCCAGCCCGCACUCACUGGCGGUGACCCCAGGACUCGUGCUCCCGCCGCUGUCCGGGUCCACGGGCAAGGCUGGUUCCCGGGGCGUGAGGAGCAGCUCCACGCCGGGCCCCACCAGGAGGUCCUUCAGGCCCUCCACUACAGGGAAGGGAGGACGUGAGGACAGGAGCCGCGGAACCUUUGGUAGGGGCGGGGCGGGGGGGGGGGUAGUGGUGGGGGGCACCCUCCUCCCACGGCACCGGCAACGUUCAGGCAUCUGGGGGAGCCCCCUGCACAUCCUAGCACCACCCACGAGGCAGAGGUUACUUCAGCAAGGACCAGGCCUCC